rnacentral:lncRNA from 1 species
UCUCUCUCGUAAAGUAAAGAAAAAAAUGGAAGAGGAAAACGCAGAGUACCGUUUGGAGAGCUUGAGAUGGCUGGCCUUGAUCGACGAGCCUCCGAGCUACGGAGAGGAAAUCAUCCUUGGCGGUGGUGGGCUUGUCGAGAACGAAGUCUGUAUUCCGAUGUUCUCUCACCCUUUCAACCUCCCGAUUUUCGUCCACCUCCUCU